GAUGAACGCUGGCGGCGUGCUUAACACAUGCAAGUCGAACGGAAAGGCUCCUGCUUGCCGGGGUACUCGAGUGGCGAACGGGUGAGUAACACGUGGGUGAUCUGCCCUGCACUUCGGGAUAAGCCUGGGAAACUGGGUCUAAUACCGGAUAGGACCACAUUUUGGAUGGUGUGGUGGAAAGUUUUUCGGUGUGGGAUGAGCUCGCGGCCUAUCAGCUUGUUGGUGGGGUAAUGGCCUACCAAGGCGUCGACGGGUAGCCGGCCUGGGAGGGUGUACGGCCACAAUGGGACUAAGAUACGGCCCAGACUCCAACGGGAGGCAGCAGUGGGGAAUAUUGCACAAUGGGCGCAAGCCUGAUGCAGCGACGCCGCGUGGGGGAUGACGGCCUUCGGGUUGUAAACUCCUUUCGCUAGGGACGAAGCGCAAGUGACGGUACCUGGAGAAGAAGCACCGGCUAACUACGUG
rnacentral:rRNA from 1 species